UCUGGUGACAAUAGCAUUGUGGUCCCACCUGAUCCCAUCCCGAACUCAGAAGUGAAACGCAAUCGCGCCGAUGGUAGUGU
rnacentral:rRNA from 1 species